AAAUGCUUGCCGGCUCAAGGACAAGCUGUGACGGGUAUGAACGAUUUAUCGUUCUAAGUGAGUGACGUCACACUGCCAAGAAAAGCUUCUAGUUAGAAUCAGACCGCCCGUACCGCAAACCGACACAGGUAGUCGGGUCGAGAAGACCAAGGUGAGCGAGAGAACUCUCGUUUAGGAAAUCGGCAAAAUGACCCCGUAACUUCGGGAGAAGGGGUGCUGAUCGCAAGAUCAGCCGCAGUGAAUAGGCCCAGGCGACUGUUUAUCAAAAACACAGGUUUCUGCAAAAUCGUAAGAUGAAGUAUAGGGGCUGACGCCUGCCCGGUGCUGGAAGGUUAAGAGGAUGGGUUAGCGCAAGCGAAGCUCAGAAUUGAAGCCCCAGUAAACGGCGGCCGUAACAAUAACGGUCCUAAGGUAGCGAAAUUCCUUGUCGGGUAAGUUCCGACCCGCACGAAAGGCGUAACGAUCUGGGCACUGUCUCAACGAGAGACUCGGUGAAAUUAUAAUACCCGUGAAGAUGCGGGUUACCCGCGACAGGACGGAAAGACCCCAUGGAGCUUUACUGUAGCUUGAUAUUGGGUGUUUGUACAACUUGUACAGGAUAGGUAGGAGCCGUAGAAGUCGGGACGCUAGUUUCGACGGAGGCAUCGGUGGGAUACUACCCUCGUUGUAUGAACACUCUAACCCACGCCGGCAAUCACGGCGGGAGACAGUGUCAGGUGGGCAGUUUGACUGGGGCGGUCGCCUCCUAAAAGGUAACGGAGGCGCCCAAAGGUUCCCUCAGAAUGGUUGGAAAUCAUUCGCAGAGUGUAAAGGCAUAAGGGAGCUUGACUGCGAGACCUACAAGUCGAGCAGGGACGAAAGUCGGGCUUAGUGAUCCGGUGGUUCCGCAUGGAAGGGCCAUCGCUCAACGGAUAAAAGCUACCCUGGGGAUAACAGGCUUAUCUCCCCCAAGAGUCCACAUCGACGGGGAGGUUUGGCACCUCGAUGUCGGCUCAUCGCAUCCUGGGGCUGUAGUCGGUCCCAAGGGUUGGGCUGUUCGCCCAUUAAAGCGGUACGCGAGCUGGGUUCAGAACGUCGUGAGACAGUUCGGUCCCUAUCCGUCGCGGGCGCAGGAAAUUUGAGAGGAUCUGUCCUUAGUACGAGAGGACCGGGAUGGACAUACCGCUGGUGUACCAGUUGUUCUGCCAAGGGCAUCGCUGGGUAGCUAUGUAUGGAUGAGAUAAACGCUGAAAGCAUCUAAGUGCGAAACUCACCUCGAGAUGAGAUUUCCCACUCCUUUAUGGAGUUAAGACCCCUGAGAGAUGAUCAGGUAGAUAGGAUGGAAGUGGAAGUGCGGCGACGCAUGGAGCGGACCAUUACUAAUCGGUCGAGGACUUAAGCAA
rnacentral:rRNA from 1 species